UUUUUUUUUUUUUUUUUUCAAUUUUUUAAUUUUUUUUUAAUGAAAAGGUAGGCUACACCCUUUAAGUAGCAUGGUAUGUAUUUCACUUUUUUAAUUACUUUGAUUAGUAAAGGAGAAAAAGAAGAAGAGAAAAUUGAAUUACUAUUCAUUAAGUAAUAUAAUUCAUGAAGUUAAUUAAAAUAUUUGAUCAUAAUCAGUCAUUAAAUAAAUAAUAAUUAAAAUAUAAUUGCUAAUUCAGCUAAUUAAAUCUCCAAAUAUAUUAUGUAGUUACUAAAAAUAAAAUUUUUAAAAAUUA
rnacentral:lncRNA from 1 species